GACGAACGCUGGCGGCGUGCCUAAUACAUGCAAGUCGAACGCAGUGGGGACGGGUGAGUAACAAGUGGGUAACCUCCCAUCAGAGGGGAUAACCCGUGGAAACAGGUGCUAAACCGAUACUGAUGUAUGAACUCGCGGUGCAUUAGCUAGUGGGUGAGGUAACGGCGCACCAAGGCCACGAUGCAUAGCCGACCGGAGAGGGUGACCGGCCACACUGGGACUGAGACACGGUCCAGACUCCUACGGGAGGCAGCAGUGGGGAAUCUUCGGCAAUGGGCGAAAGGCUGACCGAGCAACGCCGCGUGAAUGAAGAAGGUUUUCGGAUUGUAAAGCUCUGUUGUUAGAGAAGCGUUAUCUAACGAGAAAGCCACGGCUAACUACGUGCCAGCAGCCGCGGUAAUUC
rnacentral:rRNA from 1 species